rnacentral:lncRNA from 1 species
AGCGGGAAAGCGAAUUUGCGCUGCAUUGAUCGUGGUAUUGUUUGAUGCCAUUGUUCUGCAUAUAGAAGACAACAGACGUCAGUGAUGCGUAAAUGUAUUCUGGUAUUUUAUCAGCAUUUAUUAAUUAGGUCUCAAAGAUGGAGGGUGAAGCCAUGUCCCAUUGGGCGUGCCAUUUUGUCUGCCGCGAACGAACCGGCCUCGCCGUAGGGUGUUUCUAGGGCGAGUGGUCAUUCAUGGUAGAGGUUAAAUUUGUUUAUGUUUUAUUUUGAAAUCAGGAUUAUAGGUUCAUGGCUUCCAACAGACUCAAGAAUCUGUUGUUAAUUAUCCCACAUUUUUGGUGUUAAGGAACCCUUGAUUAAGAGACCAAAUAUAAAUGCUGAUAAUAAAAGAGACAAAACAGGCAAAUAAAAUUUUAUUGAUAUAAUUUGCCGUUUACAUGGCUUAAGCAGGGGCAUUCCCCCACUGUACAUG